UACGAAGGGGGCUAGCGUUGUUCGGAAUUACUGGGCGUAAAGGGCGCGUAGGCGGCUGUGCAAGUCAGAUGUGAAAGCCCUGGGCUCAACCCAGGAUGUGCAUUUGAUACUGCGCGGCUAGAGUGUCGGAGAGGAUGGUGGAAUUCCCAGUGUAGAGGUGAAAUUCGUAGAUAUUGGGAAGAACACCGGUGGCGAAGGCGACCAUCUGGACGACAACUGACGCUGAGGCGCGAAAGCGUGGUGAGCAAACAGG
rnacentral:rRNA from 1 species